CCCUUAGAUGUCCUGGGCCGCACGCGCGUUACACUGAUGCAUUCAACGAGCUUAUAACCUUGGCCGAGAGGCCUGGGCAAUCUUGUUAACGUGCAUCGUGAUAGGGAUAGAUUGUUGAAAUUAUUAAUCUUGAACGAGGAAUUCCUAGUAAACGCAGAUCAUCAAUCUGCAUUGAUUACGUCCCUGCCCUUUGUACACACCGCCCGUCGCACCUACCGAUUGGAUGGUCCGGUGAAGCCUCGGGAUUGUGGUUCUUGCCGCUUUAUUGUGGCGUGACCGCGAGAACUUGUCUAAACCUUAUCAUCUAGAGGAAGGUGAAGUCGUAACA
rnacentral:rRNA from 1 species